rnacentral:lncRNA from 1 species
AUGUUUUUUUUUUUUUUUUUUUUUUUUUUUUUUUUUUUUUUUAAACUCUAUCGGCUAUCCGGUCGGUCCUGGUAGGAACGCACCGAGGUGCUAUAUGUUUAACAAUUUCUUAUGGUUUCGUUACAUGUCACCUUUAUGUGUUUAUGUAUUUAUUUAUUUUUUUGGAUAAAAUUAUGUGUUUAUAUAUGUAUUAUUGUUUUAUAUUGUUACUUCAGAUAAAGAACCCCUAGAAUAGACCAUGAUCAAGAAAUGGUGAUGUAGUGGUAGAUUUCGGGCAGAAUUGUUUUUCUGUGUAUGGAUAAUUUGUCAAAUCCGAUCCUCCUAUCUAAUAUUGAGCCACACUAUUAAUAUUUUCGUUGUUACUCUAAAAAUAUAAAAACAUGAUCCGGUGGUCUAACGUCAUGUUAUAUACAUUUUGGGUCGGGACAUGUGAAAUUGAGUAGGUUAGAGAUAGUCAAAGUUGGGAAAGUAACGAUACAGACGAAAAGAAACGAGUUAAGGUAUGUCUUUGAAGUGUCAGCAGCAUUAAUUUGCCUUAACUUUAGUGUUAUGUUAAUUAUAUAUAUAUAUAUAUAUAUAAACUCUAGUGUUAAGUUUUUUAAAGAAAAAUAAAACACGUUAUAAAUAUUAAAUAUAGGAAAAGCGUGGUAGGGCUUCUAACAAAAAACAUUAGAUAGUAACAAAAACCAAGCCGAGAUUGGAAAUCAUGUUGAUUUUCGUGCCAAAGAUGCUUGCACCUAUCAACAAAGUUACAAGAAACUAACAAAAAAAUUAUCUAUUAUGCGACGAGAUAAUACAUGGAUACAAAUGUACAUGCAUGUCUAUUAAUGAAACUUUACGAAAGGAUGACCAACACACAAUGACUGCAUCAACACCUCCGCAUCUUACUUGAGAGUUUUGUAUAUAUGUGAAAAGGGUCUAUAUCACGCAUGCAGAAUUAGCUCUACAAUAGUUCAUCAAUAUUUCUAUAAGCGAUCAGAUGUACAUCUAUGUUGUGAAAAUACUUUGCCAGUAUCCAAAAUUUAAAAAAUUAGUAGAUAACUUACACCAAAUUGUCUAGAAACCGGAAGUGUCCUCUAAAAAUACGUGGGUCGGGGGAGAUUUAACCAUGAGAAAGUUUCUUUCAAAAUCUCUAACACUAUCACAACGUUUUUUGUUCACUCAAUCUGUACAAAAAUAAAACAGACUAAAUGGAUUAUUGGUGUAUAUAUUAGCUUGUCCUUAAUCGUCUUUUACUUGUAUCAUUAGGUUAGCUAAUUAGGUCAUAAUUCCCUUGUAUAAAUGGUGCCUCUUUGGCCUAUGUGAAUAAUAACAGAGAAUUCUAUUCAAUCAUGUUUCUCUGACAUGGUAUCAGAGCCAAAAGGCUAAAAUCUUUUUAUCUCUUUGAUUGUGAAACUCGACCAUGGCAACCGGAGGUGGAGAAGAUGGUGCUGCUACGAGAACUGCGUUGGCUGUGACGGUUGAAGGCAAGGUCUCAAAGAGACGCACGAUUCAUCCAUAUGAUUUGUCGGCGAGUGAUAACCCGGGGACAGUGAUAUCUCAGGUUCUUCUUAAUGGUGAUAACUUUGAAGAUUGGGCAAGAGAAUUGAGGACAGCUUUGCGUGCUCGCAAAAAGUUUGGCUUCGUUGAUGGCUCAAUAAAGAAACCUGAAGAAGAUUCUGAAGACAUCGAAGACUGGUGGACGAUUAAUUCGUUGUUGGUGUCAUGGAUUCGCAAUUCGAUUGAUCCAUCUCUCCGUCGGGAUAUCUCACACUUUGAGAUUGCUAAGGAGUUGUGGGAUGAUAUUGCAGAACAAUAUGAGAUUGUGUCUGGACCGCGAAUUCAACAAUUGAAACAUGAGCUGAUGACUUGCAAACAGAAAGGUUUGAGUAUCAAGACAUACUAUGGGAGAUUGAAGAAGUUGUGGGAGGAUCUUGCUGAUUAUGACAAAGAAGAUCAAUGUACCUGCAACGACUGCACGUGUGAUUCUAAGGGCCGUGGAGCGCGGAAGAGGGAGAAGGAUAAGGUGCAUCAAUUCUUGAUGGGGCUUGAUGAAACAGUGUUUGGGGCUCUUAAAUCAAGUCUUCUCACUCGUGAUCCACUGCCGUCUUUGAAUCAAGCGUUUUCUCUUGUUCAAAGAGAUGAGACUGUGAGACUUGGAAACAAGGAGACGGAGGUUAAACCCGAGGUGGUUGGUUUUGCGGUGCAAACAGCUCCAAAAGGAAGGGGAUUUGAUUACCGAAAUCACAUUUGUACAAUUUGUGGCAAGAAAGGGCAUGGAGAAGAACGUUGCUAUCAACGCCAUGGGUACCCGGUUUGGUGGAAGGGUGCGAAGAAUGAACAGCCUGAUCGUCCGCAGACAUCGGCGUUGGCUCCUGCUCGGGCUAAGCCGAUGGCACAUGUGAUUGGUACGAUACCGCAAGCAACUGCAAAUCAAGUCAUGACACCCUCGUCGACCUCGACGCCAAGUGGAUUCACACCGGAACAAUGGGAAACUUUGGUUAAUACGUUUCACUUGGUAAAGACAAAAGCUGCGGAGACACUUACGGGUAAGGCUCUUCUUGUCCCUUGGAUUUUAGAUACUGGUGCAUCGAAUCAUAUGACAGGUUGCUUGGAUGUUAUGACAGAAGUCACUGAUAUUUCACCAUGUUUAGUGGGUCUUCCUGAUGGGAGAUUUUCUGUUGCAACAAAACAAGGAACUGUUAGUCUUGGUCAAUUUCUGUGUUUCCUGCAAGUGUUGUAUGUGGAAGGAUUGAAUUGUUAUCUAGUCUCUGUGUCUCAGAUGAUUCAUCAAAACAAGUGUUUUGCUCAUUUGGUCCCGGUUUCUUUGCUAUCCAGGACCGUUCGAGGAUGCUGAUUGGCGCAUGUGAAGAACAAAAUGGUCUUUAUUUUUUUCUUGAAGUAAAAGAAGUGGGAGCAUUCAGUUUACAUGUGGCGGUGACCGUGGAUGUUUGGCAUCGUCGUCUUGGGCAUCCAUCGUCUCAAGUCAUUUCUUUAAUUCCUGGUGUUCAUGUUAGUAGUGGUAGAGAGGUUUCUAGUUCAGUGUGUGAAGUGUGUUUCCGCGCUAAACAAACAAGAGAUUGUUUUCCUACGAGUAUUAAUAAAACAACUGAAAUUUUUCAGCUGAUUCACUGCGAUGUUUGGGGUCCGUAUCGUACUCCUUCUUCUUCUGGGGCUCGGUACUUUCUUACAAUUGUAGAUGAUUUUUCUCGUGGGGUUUGGUUAUUUCUAAUGACUGAGAAGAGUGAAACUUCCACAUACAUGAAACGAUUUCUCGCCAUGACUUCACGGCAAUUUGGUAAAGAUGUGAAAGUGGUACGAAGUGAUAAUGGUACCGAAUUCAUAUGCAUGAAAGACUUCUUUCUGGAAAAUGAGAUUAUUCAUGAGACUUCGUGUGUUGGGACUCCAAAACAGAAUGGUAGAGUGGAACGUAAACAUCGUCAUAUUCUAAAUGUUGCCCGAGCACUUAGAUUUCAGGCGAAUCUUCCAAUUAAUUAUUGGGGAGAGUGCGUUCUUGCCGCUGCUCAUAUUAUCAACAAGACACCGUCGAUGGUGCUCAGUGGUAAGACACCUUAUGAGAUGCUCUUUGGGAAGGUACCUAGUUUUGAUCACUUGAGAGUUUUUGGAUGUCUCUGCUUUGCUCACAAUCAACAUCAUGGAGGUGACAAAUUUGCUAGCAGGUCUCAUAAGUGUGUCUUCUUGGGUUACCCAUAUGCGAAAAAGGGUUGGCUUGUCUAUGAUUUAGAGGAAGAGAAGUUCUUUGUAUCACGAGAUGUUGUCUUCUGUGAGAGUUCUUUUCCUUUUGCAGAUGUUCGCAGGUCUGUGGAACUGAGUGAUUCAGCUCCUGCACCGGUUGAUUUGCACAUUGAAGAGAUACCCGGAGUUGCAGUGGGUGAGGGAUCGAUCGAUCAUGGUGUGCGAUCGAUCGAUCCGAGUGUUGCUGACAUUCCAGACGGUGCGGGAUCGAUCGAUCAUGGUGUACGAUCGAUCGAUCCGAGUGUUACCGAAAUUCCAGACGAUGCGGGAUCGAUCGAUCCACCUUCACGAUCGAUCAAUCCCGAUGCCGUCUGUACUACUUAAAGAAUUUAUUGUCGAGAAACCGUCCAAGCAAGCACCAGUUGGGUAUCCGAUUUCUAACUAUGUUGACUGCAACAGGUUCUCGGAGUCACAUCGUGCUUUCUUAAUGGCGGUGAGUGAUAAUUAUAUUCCUACAUCUUUUGCGGAUGCCAUGAAAUAUGAGCAUUGGCGCAAAGCUAUGGAAAAGGAGGUUGGUUCACUGCAAGAGAGUAAGACAUGGGAUCUUGAAGAUUUACCUUCUAGGAAACGAGCACUUUAUUGUAAGUGGGUUUUUACAAUUAAAUAUCGCUCGGAUGGAUCUAUUAAGAGAUAUAAAGCACGUCUGGUGGUAUGUGGAAAUCGUCAGAUUGAAGGUUUAGAUUAUACAGAGACAUUUGCUCCAGUUGCUAAGAUGGUCUCUGUUCAAAUUUUUCUUCAAAUUGCUGCAGCUAGGAAUUGGGAAUUACAUCAGAUGGAUGUACACAAUGCUUUCCUUCAUGGUGACUUGAAAGAAGAAGUGUACAUGAAACUUCCUCCUGGUUUUAAAACUGAUUCGCCUUCUCGUGUUUGUCGUUUACGCAAAUCUCUUUAUGGGUUGAAGCAGGCUCCGAGAUGUUGGUUUGCAAAGUUGACAACGGCUUUGACGACUUAUGGCUUUACUCAAUCCAAGUAUGAUUAUUCUCUUUUCUCAUUUAUUCGAGAUGGAGUUCAGCUUUACAUUUUGGUGUAUGUUGAUGAUUUGGCCAUCAUGGGUAAUGAUCAUGCUGCAAUUGAAAGAUUCAAAGACUACUUGAGUUCAUGUUUUCAUAUGAAAGAUUUGGGUGUUCUCAAGUAUUUUCUAGGGAUUGAGAUUGCAAGGAAUAGGCACUUGAUUUUAAAUUAAACGAUAAUAAAGGGAACUUGCUCUGCUGACGUGGAGGGCGACUUCAAAGGCGAUCUAGGGUUUUUGUGUUUUGAGCACGGCUUGAUGCCGCCGGCAGCGUCUCCGCCUCGGACUGAGAGGUCUUCGGAGCAGAUCUCUUUGUCUUCGGAAGGGGAACACAAUGAAAACAUCCAGGAUAGCUCACAGGCAAGCUCUGUGAAGGAAAGUUUAAACGAUGAAAGUGCAGAACAGAGCAUUGAAACAGAGGGGGAAGCGGGAGUUUCUGAAACAGUUGCUAAGGAUUCGUGGGUGUCAGUGGCGAAAGGACACACCCGUACAAAACAUAAGUUUGAGGUCUCAGAGGUAGAUGGUCAGAGUAGAGUGGUGGUCCCAAGAGAGAUUUUUGUGGGUGCAAAACCUCUAUGGGAGGAUUUUCUAAUUGGACACUUUGUCAAUGCAAAGGCUCCUCAUGUGGGGAAGAUUCACAUGAUAGUGAAUAAAAUUUGGAGAUUGUGGAAGUCGAAACUAACACAAUCGAGAUUUGUCUAGGGUUUUAAUUUAGGGAUAUGAUAAAUGUGAAUUCUCAAAGAACAACAGAAACAAUUGUAACCAAAGAUGGUGUUCUUGAUCUUAUUGAUGAAAAGAGUAGUUUUGAUCGUACAAGAGUUUGAUCGUAAAAGAAAAAGAUGUUUGUGCUGUGAGCGCUUUGCGUAGUGUAAAUCCUAGAGCGAUAUUGCUUGCCCCUCUGCUUGAGCCUUGAGUCUCUUUAUAUAGGGGUGAUAAACCGCCUCUCCAGCGAUAUUCUCGGAAGAUUUCCAUUUAUCUCGAAGUCGGCUUAGAAUAUCGCGGAAUAAGGAUAAUUUCCUUAUUCUUCGGAGUUUCUUGGAAGAUUUCCUGAUUUGAGUUGAUCCUUUGGGAUUCUUCCUUAUCAUUUUCGGGUCUAUCGAAAAUGAUCCUUCUUUUUCGGAAAUGACGACUCGCUUGGAAAUGGUACUUUGAAGACGAAUAUUUUACUAAGUCUUUGCCUCGGGUGACUUGUGCAAUCGGCUCGGGGACAGGAGAGGCAUGGCCCAGGCUCCCGAGGGAAAUCGGCUCGGGUCCACGGAAGGAGCCAGCUCGGGCGUCCUGGCACGAACCGGCUCGGAUUCCUGGAGUGAACCGGCUCGGGCGCUUGAAGAGAGUCGGCUCGGGUUCACAAGCUUGCUGACAGACCCCGAGCAGGCUAUGGGCGUUCCCCGAGGCAACCGGUGUAGUGACCCAAGGUGAAUGGCACUUUGCACCGAGGUGAAUGGCUCGCUUCCUACGAAAUAGUUGGUAUGCUUCCCCGAGGUGUCUUCAAAAGUUCCCUGAUGCGUCCAAAGUCCGGCUCAGUGCUAAAGGAUGAAAUCCAACCCCAACAGUUAGCCCCCCAGCUCGUUGAUUUGAGGAGCGAGCAAUGAGCUUUACGAUUGUUAGUCCGAGCCGUUUUAAACUUUGUUCCGAGCCCAUCCUUGUAUGCCGCGAAGUUUUUCCAUGUUUCAAAGAUGGUUCGUAUCCUUCGAUGAUUUUUAUUCUCUUUACGAUUCGAAUCCCCUUGACGUUUCGUCUUCUUCUAGCGUGUGACGGUUGAGUUUCCUUCUCGAGAAGCGGAAAGGUCUUUGAUGAUUCCCGAGGUUCGUGCGGACGCGAAGCAUCCUGAUAUUGCUCACGCGCACCCGACGUGCUCGAGACUUGGGCGGAUGCGAAAUAUUCUUCAACUCGGCCGUACCCGACGCGCCGAAGCAUUCUAUAAAUAUCCGACUCCCACUUCAUUUUCUCAUUUCGCGAUCUGCAAGGAAAAAUUCUAAGGUUCGCUUCUUUUCUCUCUGAUCUUGAUCUCUUUAAUUUCCUCUGCUUUGUUUUACUUUCCGUCGUUCCUCCGCCGUGCUAGAUCUUAGAUUUGGUUUUUCCGAUUUCAAAUCUUGUUUCUCCGAUUCUUUUCGAUUUACCCGAGCCGAAAGAUGUAACUUUCCGAUUUGAGCGAUUCAUCCCGAGGCAGAAACAUUCCUGUUCACGAAAGGAAGAUGGUUUGGAGCAGUCCCUCGGAAGGACCCGAGGCUAGUCUUUCAGAUCGCUCCGAGCCAAACGAAGAUAGCGCAACGGAAUCGUCAUCCAAAGGCCAAGAUUCGAGCCGAUUUGUGGCUCGGGAAGAUUCUUUUGCGAACGUGGCUCGGGAUGAAGAUUUUCCUGAUGACCCCGAGGCGACGUUAAACGAAAGGAAGAUGCGCCCUCCGGCUACGGAUGAAGCUGGGGGUUCUCGCUGGAAGGAUGUUCCCGAGCCGCCUUUGCUCCUAGUUAAGGCCGAAGCGAUCCAUUAUGACUCGGACGCGGAGGCAAGAAUGCUUCGGGCCAGGGUGCAAGCGGCCAAGGCUCAGCAGCAGAAGGUGAAACGAGCCAGAAAGGUGAAAAGGCCUGACCCUCCUGGUUCUACGCUAUCUACCGAGGACUCCCUUAGAUAUUUGAGAGCUCGGUUUGGUUUUAGUGAGGGAGUCACUAUGAGGCGUCCGACCCCGAGCGAACGAGCCGAUAAUCCUCCCGAGGGGUUCUUCACGUUGUACGAGGGGUUUUUCCAUUUUUGUUUCCUGUGGUUCCCUCUCCCGAGGCUAAUCGUGGAGUACUUGUGGUCGUAUAAGAUUGCGUUAGCUCAGAUCUCAACUCGUGGACUGCGGCAUCUUAUUGGGAUCUUAGUUAGGAGUUUUGAGGCGGAUAAAACCUUGUCCCUCGGGCAUUUAAGGAAUUUCCUGGAGGUUCGUCGUAGCCCGGGUCCUUUGGAAAGAUAUUACAUCUCGCCGAGCAAGAAUAAAAAGAUCAUUGGCGGGUUCCCGAGCAAGGAUGAGAAAUAUACUGAUCACUUCUUCUUCGUCGCGAAUGACGAGGACUCUGUCCCCGAGGGAUGCCUUGAUAAAAUUGUUGCGAAAUGGGGCAAAAUCGGUAGUUUACCCGAAGCGUUUGAAUUUCCUUUCUGUUGUGACUUGAUUGAUUUAUUCUAACCACUUUUGUUUUCGUUUGCAGAUCGUGAUCCGACGUUUCUCGAGCUCAUCCCCGAAGAUCUUUUGGAAACGCACGAAGAGUUGGCUUCCCGGAAGUGUCAUUGGACCAAGCACUUCAGACUUAAAAGGGUCGAAAAAGCGUUGAGGCUGCUUCGUGGUGUUUCUUGCUCUUCGUCAUCAUCCUCUUCGGAUCACCGAUUAAGCGGUUUCGUAGAGAUGUAGAAAGCAAAAAUGACGCUAAGGGAGAAGAAGGCUGCAGAGAGGGAAGCAGCCGAGCAGAGAAGAACCAUCGAGGCAAUUUUCAAACCUUUGCCCGAGGCGAUUGACGCGCCUGAGGGGUCUGGACGACCCGAGGUGUCUGGUCUGCCUGAGGCGUCAAACAGGCCCGAGGUGACAGAUGAUCCCGAAGGGUCAAGGAUCGGUUUAACUGUGACUUCGGUUCCUCCCGAAGCAUCCGAGGACGUCCUGGCUGGGACCGGUGGAGCUCGUGCUCCCGAGGUGGAAAGUACCGAGGUCGUGGUUGGGCUGGCCGCUGGUGGACAGGCUAAGUCCAAGGGGAAACGUUCUCGGGGCGAGCGUUCUACCGACAAGAGGAAGAGGUCGAAGAGCGAUCACAGUAGCUCUCGGCCGAUUUACAAGGACAAGGUGGCUUCGGCCAACCUUGUUGCUUCGUGUUCAUGGCCGCUGCUGACGGCCCCUGAUAAUUUGGCCGAGGCAGAACGAUACGCCGAGACUUCUGCCAACUUUCUAAAGGUAAAUGUUCUUUGAAUUUUUUGUUCCGAAAUACUUUGUUCUCAACGCGUUUUUGUUGUCUUAUCCCCAGGCUUUCUCCUCGAUGAACACACUGGUUCGUUCUUACGAGUCCACGAAUCGCCAUCACGAAGCUGCCAACGAGCAGUUUGAGAUAGCCCGCGUGGAAUCGGAGAGGAGAGUGGCCGAGGCGACUGCAGCGAGGGAAAAGGCCGAGGCCUUGGUCGCGGCUGAGCGAGAAGCGAGGCUGAAAGAGGCCGAGGAGAAUGCUCGAAUUCGGCAAAAAGCCGAAGCGGAGAUUGAGCGCCUCAACCGCUUGUUUGCCGAGGAGAAGUCCCUUUGGGAGGCCGAGGUUGCCCGAGCCAGGAAGGCUGCAAAAAGGGAGGUUACCGAAGAGUUCGCCAAGCAGAUCAAAACGAUCGAGGCGAAGCUGGAGCAGUUCUACUAGGUCGCUGAUCGAUACAUGUACUUCUCCCAGGCUAAGGCUAACACCGAGCUGAUUGCCGAGCUUGAGGAGGGCAAGACGAUCGAGGACGAGAAGAAAGAAGUGGAGGCAUGGAAAGAAGAGUUUGGGGAUGCCGAGGCGGAGUACUCUCAGCUCGCAGUCGAGCUGCUCGAAACUUUGAAGAUUCCUCCGGUGUCGCCUGACUCCGUUCAUGAUAGCCUUGGGAAUAGGUCGGUGGAAGGUGAAGUGAUCGAAGUUGGAGUUAUCUAUCAAGCGGGUACGAACCUAGGCUCCGAGGCUGUACUUGUUCGAGACGAGGAGCAGGACAAGUGAUCCCGAGGCGUCCUUUAUGUUUAGGACUUUAUUAUUUUUUUUGUAAAACUUAUGCCUGGAUGGCUUUAUCCAUUUAAUAUGAAUGCUCUUCCCAAGUGCCUGAUUUGUUAUUGUUUACCUUGAGAUGUUUCCGAACCAGAUCUGGUACCAGUGUUGAGUAACUGGGUUUUCGUAGAUCUGACUUGUUUAUUGGGAAGUUAGUCUUUUCCGAACCGUUUUGACUUCCGAGGUGAAAGUGCAAUGGAUCGUUCACCAGUGUUAAAAGAUAACUGGGUUCCGGUCAUGUGGACUAAUCUUUAUCGGUUGCGACCCGAGCUAAUAUAGUCGAAGCCAGUGCUUAGAAGCGAACUUGGGUACCAGUGUUGAAGUCAACUGGGUUUUCUGAAGACAAUUUCUUUGUGGCCAGAUAUCUCCGACCGAAUUGUCUCGAAUACUUAUAUAGCGCGCUGUAACCGAGGCGGUGAAAUGAGCUUUUUCUGUCCGAGGACGUGGCCAUCGUCCGAACAAACUUUUAGCUUUAUAGGUCGAUAAGAUGACCGUAAAAGUUUCCGAGGUGACUUUUAGGGUAGAUGUCGAGGUGGAUAAAAGUGAUAACCCGAAGGGUAAAAACUAGAAAAUUAGUUAAAAAAGUUCAGUGGGAGUAUAUGUAUACGGACCCACUCCCCCCUUUUUUAAUUAGGGGGGGUAGCUGAACUCGUCCGAGGACGAGCUGCCUACGUACCCUUUUCAGGGAUCAAGCCACCCCGUAGUUCGAGUACAUGCGUACCUUAGGUUUUUAGCGGUAAUAUUUCCUUAGAUGCAUUGCGUUCCAGGAUCUAGGUACCGCUUUGCCGUUCAUGUUGAUGAGUUUGUAGACGCCGGGACGGAUUACCUUUGCGAUCGUGUAAGGUCCCUCCCAAUUCGCGCCGAGCUUACCUGCGUUCUACUCGGCGGUAUUCUGGAAAACUUUGCGCAGUACGAGAUCUCCUUCGUGGAAACGGCGAUGCUUAACGUGAGAAUUGUAGUACCGAGCCGUUGCAUUCUGAUAGUUCUGCAUACGGAUCAAAGCCGAAUCUCUUCUUUCGUCAAUUAAGUCCAGCUCGUCCAGCAUCAUCUGAGUGUUGGAAUUUUCCUGCUCGGGGAGAAAACGUCUUCUUAGUCCUGGGAUCUCGGCUUUGGUGGGAAUCACACACUCCGCGAUGUAGACAAGGGCGAAUGGCGUUUCUCCCGUGGCCCGUCGCGGCGUGGUUCUGUGCGACCAUAGUACUCCUUCCAAUUCGUCGGCCCAGCGGCCUUUCUUCGCGUCGAGGCGCUUUUUUAUUCCGUCGAGAAUCGUCUUGUUUGCCGCUUUGGCUUGACCGUUUCCCUGAGGGUACCGAGGCGUAGACUUGCUGAGGCGAAUUCCCCAUUUCUCGCAGAAUCCUUCGAACCGAGCCGAAAUAAACUGUGAUCCGUUGUCUGUAACGAUCUCGUAAGGUAUCCCGUGGCGGCAUAUGAUGUUUUUCCAGACGAAGCUCUCGACCUGCGCGUCUUUGAUGCUGGCGUAGGAGUCCGCCUCGAUCCAUUUGGAGAAGUAGUCUGUCAGUACAAGGACGAGUUUCUUCUGCUUGGAGUUGUGUAGAGGUCCAAUGAUGUCCAUGGACCAUCGCAUGAACGGAUAAGGCGAAGUGAUGGAAGAGAGGAGCUAGGCGGGUUGAUGAAUGGUUGGUGCGUGCCUCUGGCAUUUGUCACACCGUUGAGAAAACUUCUCGUAGUCUUUGACCAUUGUCGGCCAAAAAUAUCUGUGGCGUUUGAUCUUUAUAGCUAGGGCUUUCCCGCCAGAAUGGUUUCCGCAAGAUCCGCCGUGUACUUCUUCCAUGACUCUCCGAGCUUCAUUUCCUUCGACACAGAUAAGGAGGGGACCGGAAAAUCGCCAUUUAAAGAGUUCUCCGUCGAUCAGAGUAUACCGAGCCGCUUUUGCCUUAAGCUUCCGAGCUGCCCAUUUUUCAGUAGGAACUUCUCCAUCGGCAAUGUAGCUUCGGAUGGCUCCGAUCCAUUUGGCGUCGCUUCCGUAUUCGGCCUCAGUUGCAUCCGUAGUUUGCUGGUUUAGCAGUUCGAUGUCCAUUUCUUCCGGUUCUUCUGUCUCCCGAGCUGUUAGAACUUGGUCAUUGUUAUUAUCUUCAAUGCUCGGCUUUUCAAUGAACUCAACCGGUAUGAUUCUCUUCUGAUUUGGGUCGGAGAUUGAAGCUAGAGCUGCUAAGGCAUCGGCCGAUGUGUUCUCACCUCGUGGGAUUCUGGUUAACUCGAACUAUCCGAACUGUCUUGCGUGAGAGCAAGAUACGCUUCCAUUCGUUCGUCGCGAGCCGCGUAUUCUCCAUUAAAUUGAUUAGCCACGAGCUGGGAGUCGCAAAAGGCUCGUAGCUUGUUGAUCUUAAGUCCCCGAGCCAGCUUAAGUCCUGCUAUCAGCGCUUCAUACUCAGCCACGUUGUUAGUCGCAUCGAAAUUUAGCCGAAAGGAUUGUUCGAGGAUUUCACCCUCUGGUGAUGCUAGGCGGAUUCCGACGCCAGAACCUUGUUUUGAGGAUGAGCCGUCGACGUGGAGGAUCCAAACAGCGUUGGGUGACUCUUCUCGGGCGUUCUCUGUUGGCAGCUCGAUGAUAAAAUCGGCCAGAACUUGAGAUUUCGCGCAUGUUUUGUUCCUGUAUUCGAUGUCAUACUCGCUGAGUUCUACUGCCCACUUGGCCAGGCGUCCCGAUUGGCUCGGACUGUGCAGGAUGGUUCGGAGUGAUACGGGCGCCAUGACGACAAUUGAGUGAGACUGGAAAUAUGGCCGUAGCUUCCGAGCUGACAUUACUACGGCGAGGGCGAGCUUUUCAGUUUGCGGGUAGCGUGUUUCCGCGUCGGUGAAAGUUUGCGAGACAUAAAAUAUCGGCUUCUGCUCCCCUCUGCCUUCCCUGACUAUGACUCCACUUAUCGCCGUGUCAGAGACUGCGAUGUACAGGAAUAAUGGCUCGCCUGGGACUGGUUUCGCCAACACCGGUGGAUUAACCAAAUACUUCUUCAGUUCCUGGAAAGCUUCUUCGCAGCGAUCGGUCCAUUCGAAUUUCUUGUUCCCGCGCAGAGUAUCGUAGAAAGCCAGGCAUUUGUCAGUGGACCGCGAGAUGAAUCGGUUCAAGGCUGCGACUCUCCCGGUGAGACGUUGGACUUCGCGCUUGUUCUGUGGUGAGGGCAUGUUCAGUAGAGCAUCGAUUUGCUUCGGGUUUGCCUCGAUGCCUCGGUGAGUUACGAGAUAUCCCACGAAUUCUCCCGACUUUACCGCGAAACGACAUUUUGCCGGGUUGAGCUUCAUGUUUUGCUUGUUGAGCUGGCGAAAACAGUCGCGUAGAUGGGCUAUGUGAUCGCUUUCUUCAAGGGAUUUGACUAACAUGUCGUCGAUAUAAACUUCCAUCGUCUUCCCGAGCUGCUCGGAGAACAUCCUGUUGACGAGCCGUUGAUACGUUGCGCCAGCAUUCUUGAGUCCGAAGGGCAUGACUUUGUAACAGUAGAUACCUCGGUCUGUGAUGAAUACUGUCUUCUCGCGAUCGUCGGGGUGCAUGAGAAUCUGAUUGUAUCCUGCGAAAGCAUCCAUGAAUGAUAGCAACUUAUUUCCCGCGGUUGCUUCCACUAAGCGAUCGAUAUGUGGGAGUGGAAAACUGUCUUAAGGGCAAGCUUUGUUCAGAUCGGUGAAAUCGACGCAGACUGUCCACUUGCCGUUCUUCUUUUUAACCACGACAGGAUUUGCUAACCAGUCCGGAUAUCUUGCUUCGGAGAUCGAGCCGAUCUUCAGGAGCUUUUCUACUUCGGCGUUCACGGCAUCUGCGCGAUCCCGACCCAAUUUUCUUCGCUUCUGCUUGAUGGGCUUGAAAGAUGGGUCAACAUUCAGCUCGUGGCAGAUUACGUCGAUGCUUACCCCAGGUAGAUCUUCAGCCGACCAGGCGAAGGUGUUGAUGUUCUCUUUGAGGAAUGAGAUGAGCUCGGUCUUGAUUUCCUCGGUUAAGUCGCUGCCAAUUUCCACGCAUCGUUCAGGCCGUUCGUCGUCGAGGCUAAUUGAGAUUACAGGAUCCGAGGUAGGCUUCUUCUCCUCGCGCGCCUCCUCGAUCUGUAAUUGCUAUAACUGUUUAGAUAUAGCCUUCUCUUCACUCCGGCCAAGUUUUGAUUUCUUGUGAUCGGUUUCAGCCUUCGCUUCAGUGACAGGGUUUCGGAGUUUGUGUGCUGCCAUGAAACACAUCCGAGAAUUUUUCUGACUGCCCCAGAUCGUUUUCACGCCAUUGGGGGUCGGGAAUUUGACACACAGAUGAUAUGUUGAUGCGAUAGCUCGCAUUAGAUUUAACCACGGAGUUCCCAUUAUAACGUUGUAGAUGGUAGGUUGAUCGGUGACUGAGAAGUUGACUAUCUUUGUUACCCCGCCGGCUCGGACUGGUAGUUGGAUGGUUCCAAGCGUCAUCAAAGUUUCCCCUGAAAAUCCGAGGACAGGCCUCGGGGUCGGAAUCACCUGUGACAUGUCGAUGUUCAUUUGUCGGAGCGUUUCGCGAAAGAUUACGUCGAUGGUGCUGCCGGUGUCAAUUAAUACUCGGUAGAUAUCAUGGUCUCCUAUCGCUAAUGUGACGACGAUUGGAUCGUUAUGAGGCAUGUCGAGCCCGUUUGUCUCGCUUUCUUCAAAUGUGAUCACGUCGUUAGGUCGAUCGAAGCGUCUUGUCCAGUUGCUAGGCGUCUCGGCUCGGCAUUGAUAAGCUUUGAUUGCCGCUACGGUGUCAGGACAGUAUGGCGAUCCACCCAUUAUGGUAAGAACCUUCUGCCGCGUACCAUCUCGGUCUUCGUCUUCCGACGCCCGGGUUCUUUUCUGAGACUCCUGGUUCCUUGGUUCGGGGUCUCUUCCCGAGUUGGUCUGCUCGGGCUCUGGCUCUGGCUCGAGAUCCUUAAGAGUGACGUUUGUCCCGAGCUCUCCAGCUAGGAAUUUGGUUGCUAACUUGGCUCCGAGGCUUCGGCAUCUCGAGGUAUGGUGGCCGAAAAUUUUGUGGUGUUCGCAAUAUUCUUGAUCAUUGCUCGGUGGCUGAUCCCUUGUCCAGGUGAAGGACUCUCUUCCUCGCCCACGGCCUCGGCCUCGGGGCGUGUCAAUCUGGUAGUUAUGGUAUCCUGAGAAAUUGCGCCCUUUGUGGUGCGUAUACGUACCGCUCUCACGCGUCUUCUUCUGGACCGGAGGUGUCGCUUGGGAUUUCUCGGUUUUCUCGGCUCGGGGCGCCUGUUUCGUUGGCUCAUGCCUCUUUGCUAGCAGCGCCAUCUCUUCUUCGUGGGCGACGAAAUCCGAGGCUCGAUGCAGCGCGUCGCGAAUUGUUGUCGGUUUAGACAGGUUCAACUCUUUCCUGAAUUCUGACUUGUACCAGAGUGCUUUCUUCAAAGCCGAAAGAGCGGCUACAUCUGUAAUUCCUUCGACCUUGGCUAGCGUCGAUUUGAAGGUUGUGAGGAAAUCUCUCAACGGUUCGGUGGGCUGUGUAGAUAGGGACCACAGAUCCGCGUCGGAGGUUCCGGGGUCGAUGAGGACGGAGUAUUGUUUGAGGAAUAGUGUCGACAGCUCGUCGAAACUGUCAAUCGAGUUUCGUUCCAGUCUAGAAAACCACUCUAAUGCGGGUCCUUUGAGGUGUUCCACGAACAGCAAGCAUAGACCUGCAUCCUUCUCCCCGGGCUUGAACCUGGCUCGGGCUACGAAUAUCACGAAAGAUUUAAUGUGACACUUUGGGUCGGCUGAUCUGUUGUAGGAGUCGAUUUUGAACUUCCCCAGAUUGGACAUCGUCGUUUCAGAAAUUCUUUUGGUGAAGGGCGUAUUCCGAGAUUCUUCUAAAAUUCGGUCGAUGUUUGGUGCAGAGGAUGAAACGCUAUGUAUCUGGGUUUUGACGAGCUUCAUAUCAGCUUCCGCCUUGGCUAGGGAGGCUCGGAUCUUGCUGAGCUCGUCCUCCCUUUCGGAUUCUUCGGCCCAUAUUAUGUUCUCCUCAGUUUCUUCAUCGUCAGUGAGAUCUGUUCGCUCGGCGGAGUUAGCUCCGGCUCGGGUACGCUCAUCUUGCAGAUCAUCUGGCUCGUCCGUCAAGUCCACUGCGUCUGGCUCGGUGGGAUCAUCUUGGUUCUCGCGUCUGGCAGGGUCGGCUCGGGUUGCGACUCUGGUGUUGUCGGUUGGCGUCGCGAACGUGAGUCUUGUUGGGUUGAUGCCAGGCAAGUCCCUCCGAGCUCGUGGCGGCCGAGUCUGGAAAUGCGUGGUUUUUUGUUGCCCACGUGUUGCGAUUUCGUCGACUCGCUGCGCCAAGGUUUUGUUAGCUUUCUCUUGGUCGUCAACUUUCUUCUGGAAUUUAACCAUUAGAUCUUUCAGUUCGGCUAGAGUCGCUAUGAUCGUCGGAUCGGCUUGAGGAUUCUGAGGGUUCGGAGGGUUAGGGUUCCCUCCUCCGGCUGGUGGUGUCUGACGACCGUCUUCGUUCAUCGUCCUUUUCGGUAAUCGAGUUCUGCGUCUUAGGGUAAGAGAAUUCUAAAGUGUCCCCACAGACGGCGCCAAACUGUGGAAGUCGAAACUAACACAAUCGAGAUUUGUCUAGGGUUUUAAUUUAGGGAUACGAUAAAUGUGAAUUCUCAAAGAACAACAGAAACAAUUGUAACCAAAGAUGGUGUUCUUGAUCUUAUUGAUGAAAAGAGUAGUUUUGAUCGUACAAGAGUUUGAUCGUAAAAGAAAAAGAUGUUUGUGCUGUGAGAGCUUUGCGUAGUGUAAAUCCUAGAGCGAUAUUGCUUACCCCUCCGCUUGAGCCUUGAGUCUCUUUAUAUAGGGGUGAUAAACCGCCUCUCCAGCGAUAUUCUCGGAAGAUUUCCAUUUAUCUCGAAGUCGGCUUAGAAUAUCGCGGAAUAAGGAUAAUUUCCUUAUUCUUCGGAGUUUCUUGGAAGAUUUCCUGAUUUGAGUUGAUCCUUUGGGGUUCUUCCUUAUCAUUUCCGGGUCUAUCGAAAAUGAUCCUUCUUUUUCGGAAAUGACGACUCGCUUGGAAAUGGUACUUUGAAGACGAAUAUUUUACUAAGUCUUUGCCUCGGGUGACUUGUGCAAUCGGCUCGGGGACAGGAGAGGCACGGCCCGGGCUCCCAAGGGAAAUCGGCUCGGGUCCACGGAAGGAGCCAGCUCGGGCGUCCUAGCACGAACCGGCUCGGAUUCCUAGAGUGAACCGGCUCGGGCGCUUGAAGAGAGCCGGCUCGGGUUCACAAGCUUGCUGACAGACCCCGAGCAGGCUAUGGGCGUUCCCCGAGGCAACCGGUGCAGUGACCCGAGGUGAAUGGCACUUUGCACCGAGGUGAAUGGCUCGCUUCCUACGAAAUAGUUGGUAUGCUUCCCCGAGGUGUCUUCAGAAGUUCCCUGAGGCGUCCAAAGUCCGGCUCGGUGCUAAAGGAUGAAAUCCAACCCCAACAGAGAUUUGGAGAUAAAUCAACAUUGAUUGAUGUUCUUGCAGUCAAUGACACGACAGUCAAGUUUCGGGUACGGAAUGAGGCAAUGCGGAGAAGAUUGCUGAACCGUGGCAUGUGGAAUAUCAUGAAUGUUCCAAUGCUAAUAACGAAAUGGACACCGUUUUCUGAAGAGGCACAACCGGCAAUGAAGUCUAUCCCAUUGUGGGUUACUUUAAAAAAUGUUCCGCUAACCAUGUACACGGACAAGGGGUUAGAUUUUCUGGCUAGUGCGGUAGGACAACCAAUUAGGCUACACCCAAAAACAGAAGCAUGUGAAAGUUUUGAGGUUGCUCAAGUACUGGUUGAAGCAGACCUAACAAAAGAUUUGCCUCAUGAAUACAACCUAACGGGAGAGGAGGAAGGAGAGUUGGAUGUCACAGUCAAAUACUCAUACCCUUGGCUUCCUCCACGAUGCAGAAGCUGUAAGAAAUGGGGACAUGUGACUAACGCUUGUCUUGCAUCAGUGCGAGAAACAAUACAGUCACAUGAAAUUUCAGUCUCAACACCAAAAGCGGUUUCAGCAAAUGAUACGAGCUCCGGAAUAAACAAAGAGGGAGAGGGUCAGGAACAAAAACAACAGACAGAAGUUGUAGCUGCAGAGAAUCAGACCAAUGAGGGCUGGAUAACUCCACAGAAAUCCAGUCGUAGCCCGCCAAAAAAGCCAGAGGAUCUGAAAUAUGGGGAAGUAUACAUAUUGUCAAAUUCCUAUUCAGCUCUCAGCGGAAAAUGUGAGGAUGGAGAUGAUAAUACUGAAAAAACAGCAAUAAAGAUGACGAGGAAGCAGACCCGUCGGUUGAAACUGAACAUGCUGCAGAAAACAAGCAUGAUGAAGCUGAAGCUGAAGCUGAAAACACACCCAAAGUUAUUGGAAAAACAGUGAAACAGAACAGUACCUCGAUCAAAGAGACUCUGCCAUUGCGACAGUCUCUUCCUCGAGAAUCAAAAGGAGCACAUAAGUUCAUCACCAACCCAUCUUCUCAACCCGCUCGGAAUCUCUCUAGAGACCCGAGUAAGAAGAACCAAAAACAUCAUUAAUGUCGAGUUUCUUCUGGAAUGUUCGGGGUUUCAACAAAACAUUUAAACAUUCCGUUGUAAAGGAUUGGGUAUAUAAAGACGGGUUACAGUUUGGUUGUUUACUUGAGACAAGGGUAAGAGAAAGAAAGGCAGAGGGUCUGGUUAAUGCAGUGUUUCCAGACUGGUCGUUUCUAUCAAAUUACAGUUUCAACAGGUUGGGAAGAAUAUGGGUGGUCUGGAGUCCGAAAGUGAGGCUAACACCUUGCUUUACUAGCGGUCAAAUGAUCACUUGUUCUGUGCUUAUGGAAGGUGCGACAGAAGAAUUCUUUUGCUCCUUCAUUUACGCCUCAAACCUUGUAGACGAAAGGAAAACAUUAUGGGAGGAUUUGCGAAGUCAUCAGGACUCUCCUCUGUUUCGAAACAAACCCUGGAUGAUUUAUGGUGAUUUUAAUGAAAUUCUAAAGGGAGAUGAGCACUCUCUGUAUGAUGUCAAUCCCACAAUUCAAGUGGGAAUGCGUGAUUUUCAAGAUCUGGUACGAUAUUGUUCUUUGAGUGAUAUGAACUCACAAGGGCCGUGUUUCACUUGGUGUAAUAAAAGAGAAAGAGAUGGUGAGCUGAUCUGCAAAAAACUGGACAGAGUCUUGGUGAACAAUAAUUGGAUUGCGGAUUAUCAACAAUCCUACAGUGUGUUUGAAGCCGGUGGCUGUAAGGAUCAUUUACGGUGUCGAAUAAAGAUUCAACUCGAUAAGCCUCGCAUUCGUAAGCCUUUUAAGUUUACAAAUGCGUUGACGUCUGAUCCAGAUUUCUUGCCCAUGAUGAAAGAUUAUUGGGAUUCCACGGAUACCCUUUUUCACUCCACAUCUGCGCUAUAUCGACUCUCAAAAAAGCUAAAAGCUUUGAAAGGAAAGAUCAGAAUAAUGAGUAAGAACAAGUUUGGCUUACUGACAAAGAAAACAAAGGAGGCAUAUGCCGAGCUUUGUAGCUGUCAGCAAGAAACACUUCAAAACCCAACAGUUUUGGCAAUUCAGAAAGAAUCACGAGCUUACCACCGCUGGCUUCAUCUUUCAGAACUGGAGGAAAAGUUUCUAAAGCAGAAAUCCAAAUUACAUUGGUUAAAAGUUGGAGAUGGAAACAACAAAGUUUUUUUUAAAACUGCAAAGCUUAGGGAGGUGAGAAAUGCAAUAAAAGAGAUAAAAUGUGCAGACGGAUCGAUAGUGGAUUCUCAGGAGGAUAUGAAACUAGAGGCUGCAAGGUUCUUUCAAGAGUUUCUUGCAUAUAAGCCGGACCAUUAUCAGGGAAAAACGAAGGAGGAGCUGCAGGAUCUUCUGAAAUUUCAGUGUACAGAGGAGGUUUGUUCAAAACUGACCAGUGAAGUAACUACAUAUGAGAUAAGAAAAGUCUUAUUCUCAAUGCCGAGCAACAAAAGCCCGGGCCCUGAUGGAUAUACGGUAGAAUUCUUCAAAGAAACUUGGCCAAUUGUUGAAAAAGAUUUUGUAGUGGCUAUACAAUCUUUUUUCAUCAAAGGGUUUAUACCGAAAGGAAUGAAUGCCACCAUUCUCGCAUUGAUACCAAAGAAGAAAGAGGUAAGAGAGAUGAAAGAUUAUCGCCCCAUAUCCUGCUGCAACGUUAUUUACAAAGUAAUCUCUAAGAUCAUCGCAAAUAGACUCAAAACCAUCCUACCGCAAUUCAUCUCGCCAAAUCAAUCUGCAUUUGUCAAGGACCGUCUUCUAAUGGAAAAUGUCUUGUUGGCAUCAGAAAUAAUAAAGGAUUAUCACAAAGACACGGUAUCAGCUCGAAGUGCCAUAAAGAUAGACAUAUCCAAAGCUUUCGACUCGGUACAGUGGCCUUUCCUUCUCAACGUCUUGUCAGCUCUAAACAUUCCGCAGCAAUUCAUUCAAUGGGUUGAACUUUGUGUUACAACAGCCUCCUUCUCGGUGCAAGUUAAUGGAGAAUUAUCUGGUUUGUUUCGAAGUACACGAGGCCUAAGACAAGGAUGUUCACUUUCUCCUUACCUUUUUGUCAUAUGUAUGAAUGUUCUAUCAAAGAUGCUCGACAAGGCUGCUUUGGAAAGGAAGAUAGGGUUCCAUCCACGAUGCAAAAAUCUCAAGUUAACACAUUUGUGUUUUGCGGAUGACCUGCUUGUGUUUACAGAUGGGAAAAAAAGAUCUAUAGAAGGAAUCCUCCAGUUAUUCACGAAGUUUGCAGAGUUCGCUGGCCUGAAGAUAAGCCUAGAAAAAUCAACAUUGUACAUGGCAGGGAUAGAUGAAAGGGAUAAGGAAAUGAUCCUUCAAAGCUUUCCUUUCGACUCCGGACAACUACCCGUUAGAUAUCUCGGACUCCCUUUGCUAUCUAAGAGAAUGACAACUUCAGACUAUUCUCCACUCAUUGAAAAAAUAAGGGACCGGAUUGGUUCCUGGACUGCUCGGCACCUCUCCUUUGCAGGGCGACUGCAGCUCAUAAGUUCAGUCAUUCAGAGCCUCACCAACUUUUGGAUUUCUGCGUUUAGACUCCCAAGUGCUUGCAUAUCAGAAAUUGACCGGCUUUGUUCAGCAUUCUUGUGGUCCGGACCUGCUCUAAACCCAAAGAAAGCCAAAGUGGCAUGGAGAGAUGUAUGUUUACCUAGAGAAGAAGGCGGUCUAGGUCUAAGAUCAAUACAUGAAGCAAAUAAAGUCAGCUGUUUAAAACUGAUUUGGAGAAUAACCUCCUCCGACUCUUUAUGGGCACAAUGGAUAAAGCUAUAUCUAAUACGGAAAGGUUCCUUCUGGUCACUUAAGGAAAAAACAUCAAUGGGGUCUUGGAUGUGGAGAAAACUCCUCAAAUACAAGGAGCUUGCUGCAAGUUUUACUAAAAUAGAGGUGAUGAAUGGAAGAGAAACUUCUUUUUGGUAUGAUAAUUGGUCACAAAUGGGGAGGCUUAUUGAUUACACGGGUCAGAGAGGAUGUAUUGAUAUGGGGAUAACAAUUCAGUCCUCACUAGCAGAGGUGAUUGCAACACAUAAAAGAAGAAGGCACAGAGUUGAAAAUCUCAACAAAAUAGAGGCAGAGAUUGAUGCAAUUAAAACAAAGGGGCUGACACACGAAAGAGAUGUAGUGCUAUGGAAAGGCAAAGGAGAUCGAUACAAGACCAAAUUCAGUACUAAUGAGACAUGGGACGCAAUUCGGGAAGCUAGGCCAUGUAUGGAAUGGUGCGAGGGUAUUUGGUUCCUCCAUGCCACACCCAAACACUCUUUCAUAUCAUGGCUUGCAAUAAAGAAUCGCUUAGCAACUGGAGACAGAAUGCUAACUUGGCAAAAUGGAGUAGACCCGUCUUGUGUUUUCUGCACUCAACAAAUUGAAGACAGAGACCACCUCUUCUUUAAGUGUUGCUAUGCUGAAGAAAUCUGGUCUGGUUUGAGCCGUAAGAUACUUGGACAGAAAUUCACCACAUCGUGGAGUGAUGUUCUCAGGAUCCUCACAGACAAGUCGUUGCGCAGAGUUGACCUAUUCCUGGUACGGUACACUUUUCAGCUAGCCAUAUACUCAAUAUGGAGAGAAAGGAACAGUCGGAGGCAUGGAGAAACACCAAUACCACCACUACAGCUGCUUCAAACUCUUGACAAACAAGUUCGGAACAGGAUCUCCUCGAUUCGAAAACAAGGAGAUAGGAGGUACGACGGAUGCAUGGAAGCUUGGUUCGCUUCGAGAUAAACACUACAAGGGAAUAGUUUGUAAUUUUAUUUGAUCACUUAUUAACCAAACGAUGCACUUGAUGUAAAAACGUUUUUUUCGAAUAAAUUUUACAUUUUAUUCAAAAAAAAAAAAAAAAAAAAAAAAAAAAGAGAUUGCAAGGAAUACUGAGGGAAUUUAUUUGACACAAAGAAAAUAUACGUUGGAUAUUAUUUCUGAAACUGGUCUUAUGGGUGCCAAGCCGGUCAAUUUUCCUUUGGACCAAAAUCAUAAAUUAGCGGUAUCAAAGAAUGAACUUCUUACGGAUCCAGAACGGUAUAGGAGGUUGGUUGGAAGGUUGAUAUAUUUGGCUGUUACGCGUCCGGACCUUGCAUAUUGUGUCCAUAUCUUGUCACAAUUUAUGCAGGUUCCGCGCCAGGACCAUUGGGAUGCGGCUUUGAGAGUCGUUCGUUAUUUAAAAGGUACUGCAGGCCAAGGCAUCCUUCUUAGUUCUGAUUGUGACUUACAUGUUCGUGGAUGGUGUGACUCAGAUUGGGAAGGAUGCCCUCUUACUCGGCGUUCUUUGACGGGUUGGUUUAUUCAGUUGGGAGCUUCUCCGAUUUCAUGGUGUACAAAGAAGCAUGAUCGGGUCUCCAUGUCUUCGGCUGAAGCGGAAUAUAGAGCCAUGGGAGAUACUACUAAGGAGUUGCUCUGGAUAAAGGCAUGCUUGCGAGAUUUUGGAGUUAUGCAUUCGUCACCUAUGUCUCUAUUUUGUGACAAUGAAGCUGCUCUUCAUAUUGCGGCUAAUCCCGUUUUCCAUGAACGGACUAAACAUGUUGAAUCCGAUUGUCAUUUUAUACGAGACGAGAUAGUGGCAGGAGUGAUAGCUACUCAACAUGUUCCUACUGAGGGUCAGCUUGCCGAUAUUUUUACCAAAGCAUUGGGAGCUCGUGAAUUUUUGGCAUUUCAAGACAAGUUGGGCAUUCUUAAUCUUCAUGCUCCAACUUGAGGGGGGGUAUUGGUGUAUAUAUUAGCUUGUCCUUAAUCGUCUUUUACUUGUAUCAUUAGGUUAGCUAAUUAGGUCAUAAUUCCCUUGUAUAAAUGGUGCCUCUUUGGCCUAUGUGAAUAAUAACAGAGAAUUCUAUUCAAUCACGUUUCUCUGACAUGGAUCCUAGAAAAACAUGGUGAAAGCUCUUAGAUAUAUAUGGUUUUCAAAGUGGUAAGUAAAUAUUAGCCAAGCAGCAAGCGUUGAACUUGGCUGAUAUUUACUUACCACUUUGAUGUAAAACCAUAUAUAUCUUAGAGCCUUCACUAUGUUUUUCUAGUGGUUCUAGUAAAUAUCAGCCAAGCAGCAAGCGUUGAAACAAACCAGAGGUGGUGAGCUAGUGGUUCUAGUCUUGUGGAAGAGUGGCCCUGUUGGUAUAGGCCAGGGAUCGAUUCUCCCCAGACGCAUAAUUGCUUAGUUUAUCUCUUUAGCCACAUGAGUAUGGGCCCAUUGUUUACGGCCCAUUUGAAAACUUGGGAGGGACCCUACCCGUGGGAUACCCUCUCCCCAUGGAUUAGUCCUAGACCCCUCCAUAGGUAUAGGAAUUUACCCUUAAGUUAAAAAAAAAAAAAAAAGCAAGCGUUGAAACAUCACAAAUCAAAAUGUUUCAACCUAAAGAAAAUAUUCCACGCAAAUCCCAAGCGAUUUGCAAACCUAAAGCCAAACUCAUAACAAACAAAAAGAUCAUACCAAGAACCUCAACUCAUAUACAUGGGUUUGAAAAAAGGGGCUAAGCUUCUUGAAUAGUGGAUACUUCAAGGACUGCCUGCCCCAGUCCCCCUGUAAUAUAUCGUUUCAACUAGGAUCUUCCUAUACUUUCAUCCUCUACCUAUAUAUUCUCCCCUAUACACACUAUACUCUUCACAAUUCCACCCAAUUUUAUACAAUUCCAUCCAAUUCACCAAAAUCAAUUAUGUUGCCUAAAUGCGUUUUAAAAUCAUAAAAUAGUAUUUUAAAAUUGAUUUCUCUGCCAAUUUGUGCCUCAUCUUCGAAAUUGGUUACUCUCACUCGCAUUCUCUGAUUCAUUACCCCUAUUGUGCUCUACAUCAUCGUCACUACAAUUGUACAAAAUAAAACAUCAUCGUCAUACAUUUCUUUCUCACUAUCAUUAACAAAUUCAAACAAUUUCGGACGAAUUCAAACAAAUCCAACUACGAUAACAGGUUCUUUAAAAGAAAUAUCAUAACUUUCGACCCAACCAUGCUUCGGAUUCUCUAGAGACGACGAUCCAAUCAACACCAGAGACAACGAAACAGAAGCAGAACAAGAAGAAUAACAAAAAGAAUUGGACAAUCUAAAGAGAUGAAGCAAAAUCCGAAGUAGAAGUUGAAGAAAGAGUGUCGGUAUCGAUGGAGAAGAAGAAGAACUCCAAAUCCUAACUAAAAAUUUUUCCCCCUUUUGAUUUUUAAGUCAAAUCGAACCCUUUCUAUCAAACAGAAGGUUCAAUUCUGGUUAUGAAACAUGGAUCAGAUUACCGGUUUAAUCGCAGAUUAUCAAUUGUAAAACGCAAUUUUAUGAUUUUAAAAUGCAUUUAGGCAGCAUAAUUGAUUUUGGUGAAUUGGGUGGAAUUGUAUAAAAUUGGGUGGAAUUGUGAAGAGUAUAAUGUGUAUAGAGGGAAAUAGGUAGAGGAUGAAAAUAUCGAAGGAACUUAGUUGAAACGAUAUAUUACAGGGGGACUGGGGCAGGCAACCCAUACUUCAAUGAGCUCCCACAAAAUCUUGAACAUUGAGUUUUCAAAAGAACAUGCAGCACCAUCCUAAUAUUUCAAAUAUAUAAUUUCAUGGAAGAUAUUCUCAAAAUCAUUUUGAGAUCAACCUCUAACUUUAGUGUAUAAAUGUAACCGGUAUACACCACAUCCUAGGUAUUAUCACGGUUUUAACUACGCUCAUGUUUAUCUACUUUUCAAAGUAACCUAUCCUCAAAACACGAGUUCAAAACUUCAAAAAACAUCUUAAAUUUUUGAGCAAUAUAAAUUCUUAAAUUUACACACACACACAUAUAUAUUAUCAAAAGUUAUUUGAAGUAUAAAAUUUGAUAUAAUACAAAAAGAUUAGCACACAAAAAACUUUCAUUAAAGAUAGAACAUAUUAACAUUUAUUUUGAACACUUAAAGAUUAUUAUAUCAUAUGAUCAAUCCAAAUAUAUCGAAGUAAACCAAGUAAUACUUUUGAAAAUUGGUUUCUUCUUUCCAUAUGAUAUAUACUUCAAAACUUAAAAUUUGAUGUAUUAUACCGAAUUAAUUGUUUAAUUAAUUGGGGUUCUAUCUUCUAACUAAUAUGCAAUAUAAGCCAAAAUAUUGUGGAGGAUCAGUAGAGGUGAGUCAACAUAUUAAUAUAUCAAUUCCCUUCUCUUUGCUUCACCUUGUUAUCAUACAACAUAAUAUUUCUUUGAUUUUGACAUUUUCCUAUAUAGCUGCACUCACAAUCAAUAUUUAUAGAUCAAAUAUAUAUAAUAUAUAAUUAUUUAGUUAUUAUAUACAAUAUGAAUUUUCAAUUACAACAUGAUAUUUAAUAAUAUGAAGAUGUUGGAUGCUUCUGUUUGGAAUGUCCUUGGUAUUGGAAUAUAUCCGAUACGAUUGGAGUAUUAUUGUCUUUAAAUAUGCUCAUAUGUAUAUUUGCAUGUGCAAUGUGGGAUGUGUAAUCUAGUUUAAUGAAUUAAAUUUAGUAUCUAUAACAUGGUACGUAUGAUUUACACAUAUAUAGUCAUAAACUAUUCAAUUAAAGAAAAACAAAAAUUCCCCGAAUAAAUCUAUAGGAUAUAUUCAAGUGGAUGUUUUAUCUUCCUUUAUAUAUAUGUAGCCAGAAAAAAGUACGAUUUUUAUUUUUAAAUACCGGACAUGAUAUCAUAUAUGGUACUACUUGAACAGAGACCCACCUAAUCAUAGUUAUAUUUUAGUCUUUACUUAUACAUAUAUUUUAAUUAUAUAAACUUUAUUAAUCAGAUAUAUGACCAAUAGUUCCAAACAAUAAUUGCUUUUGUUUAUAACAAAUAUGCAAUAACAAGUUUGAGUAUGGAUAUUAACAAUACUUUAAUCCCAUAGGUAAGUUGUACAAAUAUUUUAGUUGUAAAUUAGAACGGUAAGUUUUUACGGAAUAGUUCAAAACUGUAAAAAAAAAUGAUACAUAAAAGCUAUAUAAAAAGCUGAGAGUAACGUUUUUGGUAACAUUUUUAGUAAUGUUUUUAUGAUUUGUAACUGUUGAAACGGUAGAAAGUUACCAAUCAAAGCCAUAUAACAUGAACUAUAUAUUAUGUUAUAUAUUUUUGGUUCCAAAUUCAAAAAUAAUUUUACAUAUACUUUUAAUUAUAAUAAAUCUAUGUACACGUAUAUAAACUAUUAACAACUCAAAUAUAAAAUAUCUCAUUAGUUUAGGCAUAGAUCCAUACAUUUACAUAUACAACUUUUCAAAGUAAAAAAUCUAUAAUAUAAUUAUUAAGUUUGAAGAAGACAUGUAGCCUAAUGAUUUAUUAAAACACCGUCAUUGCGUAUAAACAUUUUUUUUUUUUUGAUAAAAACAAACAUUAUUUUAAAUAUCGUAAAAUCAGGAUAUCUGUAUUUAUAUUUUUUUAAAUGGAUAUCUGUUAACAUGUCUCGGUGGACAGCUGAAUUUGAUUUAUCUGAAAAUUCAGACAUGGAAAAUUAGAGAGCUAGCUUUCGAAAGUUAAACACUUUAUUUGGAACAACAUUUUAGGUUAUAUGGUAGUAAAUUAUAGAUUAAGAUAGAUCGUGAGAGCGAAAAAAAAAAAAAAAAAAGAUAGAUCGUGAGAUGUAUUACGAUAUCUUUUGUCCCGUUAUGGGGCAGUGCGAGAGACGAUUUAUCUCCUAUACCUUUGAUCUUGAAAGUGUUCCCAUGUCGGUUUAUGAGAACAUGAAUUUCAUAUUAUGGUGUCGACCGAAGCAUGACGGAUAUCAGAACAAGAGGCUGAGACAUUCCUUUAGAUUUUUAAUACAGCAUAAAUGCAAGUAGGUCUUUUUGAAGUUUAGCUAGUGAAGAUUUUGUAUACACUAAAUGGUGGGUGAUGUCUAGCUAUGGUCAGAUUGGUGUUUUUUUUUUUCCAAAGUUUCUACCAUUUUUUAACCAUUCAACCGCAUUUCAUCCUUUAGCCAUUUCGUUUAAUCCGCCUUCUUCAUUCGAAACCAUUAGUCAACAAAAUAGCAAACUUACUUUCUUUUAUUAUAUAAAACACAAACUCUAACCAAAUCCAAACUUAAAAAGCUCACUAAAGAUAUAUUAUAUAUUGAUUAUGAAAACAACAAGCGAAGAUAACAAAAUUAUCACCUAAUUAAGUUAUACAAUAAUAAGAUAUUAUCAACCUCUUCCAAAUGGAUGAUUUUGCUCAGGAAACUUCACUUCACCAUCCAAAGAAACUCCGCCACGACCACUGCCGCGGCCACCACCACCACCGCGAUUUACAUUUCUCACCAUUCCUCCAACUCCAAGAAAAUCUAACGUUAACUUAUCCGAGCCGCUCAUAUUUCCAUUGUCUCCAAAUUGAACGUCGAAGAUACUGCCACCGGAUCCUCCACCGCCAUUAACGGCCGCUAAUGAGUUCAUUAGACCUUGAAGGUUUCCAUUAUUAUCAUUCUCCAUAAUUCGUCCUCCACCAAAGUGAUUAGCGAUAACACUUGAUGAAUUAGACGAAGAAGCUAAGCCUCUGAACAAAGCAGAAGGAUCGUUGCUUGUGACUGAACCCAUUUGUGUAGCUUUCUGAAGUAGUGCCGUAGCUGACACGUUAGAACCCGUGUUCAAGUUUUCUUCACGGUGAUGAACCAGAACGUCGGUGCUAUAUAGAGAAGGAAAAGUCGUCUCCGAGUUCUUGGUGUUUUCUUGAAAGAAUCCGAGGUUGAAGAAGCUGUUGUUGGUGUUGCUAUUCUUGAGGUUGAUGUUGUCCACUGGAUCAAACUGUAUCAGACCAUGCUGGUUCAUGAAACUCUGAUCAUUGUUGUUUGGCAUUGUAGUCGACAUUCCUUGGCUCGAAGCGCAUUGGAUUAGGAAGUUAGGGUUUGACGAUUGCGGAAGAAAGUCUCUCCUAUUUUCAGAAGUUGCAAUGUUCAGAUUGUAACCCGCGAGAGGGGAAAAUCCAGAACUCGGAUGGUCACUUAAAUGGUGGUGUGAGAGAGCGCUGCCACCACCAAGUCUCCCGUAGAUUCCCCCAGAGCCGACACCGCUACUAGCAGCUGCCAUUGACGUAAAGCUCACGGUAGGGUUUCUUGCAGUCUCUUGUAUCAAUGCAUCGCAGAAAGCCCUAUGUGUGAUGUAACUAUCACGUCUACAAAGCAAAAAAUAAAAAUGUAAAUAAGACAACGGUCGAUAAAUAAAGCUAUUAAUUCAUAUAUAUAAACUUUAUAUUAUGUAAUAAUUCCGUGAGUCAUAAUCAAUAAAUGCUAUAGUUAUUGUGGCUACCAUAUAUAGGAGAGAAUGUUAGAAGAAUAUAGAGGUCGAGUCAAUUGCUAAUUUAGUGAAAGACCUUCUUCAUUUAAUGCAAAACCCAUGAAUGUUAAUAUAAGUCAGUCACAUUCUGCAACAACGUAUAUUACUCAAACCAUGAAAAUAUAGAAAGAAACCCUAGAAGAGCAUUAAAGUGUUCACCAGAACACUGUAAUAAAUAUAAGUAACGCACUCUUACCAAAUAUGUAUGUAUAUAUUACAUACAUAGAGAGAGAUAGAGAUAAGAAGAGGGUCCACAAAUGAAGAGGAGUUUCGUAAAAAGGGGAACCUGCAAAGUGAAGAAGAAGAAAACAAAAGUAGAAAAUAGAAAAACAAAAUCCAACUCAUACAUGUGACCAAAUUUAGCAUCUUUUAAAUUUUCUUACUUUCUAUUCACUGUCUUUCUCUAUUCACUACUCAUCAACAACCAAACAAAUACAUUGAUAGAUCCUAUGUACAUAAUGACUAUAUACAUUUUAUAAGCGGUGUACUCGAGGUUCAAACUCCGUGGCCAAAUAUACAAUUUUUCAAUCACAGAUGAUUAUAUAUAUUUGGUAUUUUCCAUGUAAAUUAGUAAAUAAGCUAAGUUUUACAUGCAGUGUUGAAUGCAGCUUUUACUUAGAAUAGAUUUUCAAUAUAAUACAAAAUAACGGUGGUCCAUUGUUAUACUUUACCAAGAUAAGAAGGUAUAUCUUGAUACCACACACACUGACACAUAUAUUAUACGUUUCAUCACUUAAACCAAAUACGAACAAAUUAUUUAAAUGAAAUGGAUAGAGAUUAGUUACCUAGAGAAGAUGGUACCACAGUCACAUCGAUACUCCUUAGUUCCACAAGUCUUAGAGUGAGCCUUCCAAUCUGACUGAACAGCGUAACGCUUAGAACAUUUCUCGCAUUUCCACUUCUUUUCGCCAUGUUUACGGUAAUAAUGCUUCUUGAUUCCGGUGAGGUCUCCGAGAGCACGUGAUGGGUCAUGGUGAACGCACGUGGGCUCCGGACAAAGAUAUACUUUCCUCUUCACUUCUUUGGUUGACUUCUGUUUCAGCUUCCAUGGGAGGUUGUGUCCUCUUCGGUGAAGCUGUAGAUUUUGUUCUCUUUGAAACCCUUUGUUGCAUACAUCACAUAUGAAUCUGUUUGUAGCCAUUAGUGUCUUUGGAGAUAAUGCUACCACUUCCGCAUCAGGAUCUAUUUCAAUCAAUAAAAGACUUUAACCAAUUAAAUUUAGUCACCAAUCGGAUCCGAAAUGUCAAUCUAUGUAGACUAUAUCGAGAAAAUGUUACACACAAUUACAAACAUGUACAUAGACUGUCAAUAUAGAUGAUGAAAUCUUGAUACUAUAUUUACAAAAAAAAAGAGAACAAAAGAUUAGGGUUCUUCUAUUUGUUUUCUUGGAUUUAUCUUAAAGCUUAUAGUGAUUCUUAUAGAAAUUUAUUAGUGAUGAAUCCCAUAAAUAUAUAUAAAAGAGAGAGAUUUAUGUGUAAGAGGUACUUGCUUGGGUUUCCGGGUUGGUUUCUUCGUUUCUUGGGUGGUGGAGCUGAGGAGUUAGGUUGUUGAAUCAUUGACAUAAAAGUAUCUUUCCGGUUAAAGUCGUUAUCUCCGGUGCCGGAGCUGGUGAUGAAGAAAGGCUGAGCAGAGGAUGAUGAUGAAGGAAUAACGCUUGUGUUAUAUGAUGAUGACGACAUCUUUAGAUCUUCUUCUUUGCGUGGAAGAGAAUAAUCUACAAAUAAUUCAUAAGAAAAAAAAGUUAGAAAAAAAAGAUAGUGAAAGAAAUCAACUAAUCUUUUGAUAAGAAAACGAAGGGAGGAAUUAUAAGAACAGGAAAAAUCCAUAGAGAUUGACGACAUGAAGAAUUUUUAUAAAAACAAUUCACUAGAAGACAUAAACAAAGAAAAACAAAUUAAGAGUUUAUACUUUUGUUUUUUGUUCCUAAACUUUUGAAAGAAUUAAGAGGAAAGAUUUCUGAGUUGUUUUUUUCUUGUACCUGAGAUCAAGAGAAAGAAACCAAGAAGAAGAAGGAAGAAAAAAUAGUCAAAAUUAAAAGCUAUAAAUCGGAGCUAAAGAAAGAACCAAGAAGAAGAUGAUGAUGAUAUAGAAGGUGAUGAAGAAGAAGACACUAUUCCUAUAUAUUAUGUAUUAUAAUACAAAUACAAACCUCAAAGCCCUAUCUCUCUCUAUCUGUAUAUCUCUUUCUCUCUCUCUACUGUUUUGUGUUCUUCUUCUUUUAAAAAUAAGCCAUAUAUGAAAUGAUCUUGAAAAGUAUGUCUAAGGUCCCCUCUCUGUCUCUAUCAUUUUAUUUUAUUUCAUUUAUAUAAAAUAAAGCUACUUUUUUUCUUAUAAUUUAAUUUGACAGAAUUAAGAAGGAUGGUUACGGUUUGGGUGUCACUGUUAAAACGGUGAAAUGUGUCCACAUGCGGGGGUGUGUUGUGGGUACCACAUUUUUCUCAUUCGUAUCUUUCUGGUGAGCUUUAAGACAAAACCCUCGUUUUCUCUUCAUUUAACUUGAUUAGGUUUUGUUGUACUAACUUUUUAUUGUUUUUAUCUAACAAAAUCGUUAAUAAUAUAACAUAUUGUAUAUUAAUACACAUGAUACACCAAUCAUAUAGACACUUUUUUAAAUUUGUUAGAUUCUUUGUAUGAAAAUUAAUAUAUUGCUUUUUUAUUUUGGUUCAAUAUGUUCAAUUGUUCAACCUUAAUUAAGAAAAAUCCAAUGCAAAAGAAUUGAACCAAUUGGUUUGAACCAAACCUUAAUCCUGAACGAGUAACCCUCAACCGAUCUGAAUAGAUUUUAUAACAAUAAAUCAGAAAAUUUCAAUCUUAAUAAACGUGUAUCCAGAAUUUGUCCCGAAUCAUCAUCAUCUUCAAUAAUCGUUUUGCCAAUAAAAUGGAAUGAACUUCUUCAAUGCGCUUCAUCAUUCUAUGAACUUUUAGAUAGCCAGAGAAUAUUCACAAUAGUAUUUGAAUGAAUUUGCUGAUACCCAUGUAAUAGUUGCUGCUUGCCAUAUACCAAGUAGAUUUGUACCAUUUUAAUUCCAAUAUCACUUUAAGAGCUUUGAUAAAAUAAGAUUGAUAUAUAUUACUAAUCGACCGUAUAGUUUGAUUUUCUCUUUUUCACCUAGUCUUUUUAUCUUAUAUAAUUUAAUUGUUACUUUAGUUUAAUUAGAAAGUACCAAAACAUAUUAACUUGAUACUCUCUUCAUUUUAACAAAAAAACAUAUUAAGUAUCAGGCAACUUCUCAACUUGAUACUCUCUUCAUUACCAUCGACCCUUAUAAUAAGAUCGUACCAACUAAGCUGAAAUAGCUAAGCCUCUCUGAUUGGGUUGUAAUAUGAAAUAGCACACACUCACACACACAAAAGAGCCUAUAUAAGGAGAUAGAUACCAAACACAGCCCACGAACCAGUUGUUUUUUGGGCCAGCCCUCUAGAAAAGUAAGCCCACAAGAAACUUAGAUGAACCGAAAUUGUAUGGGAAAAUAAGAAAAACUCAACAACUCUGUUUCUGCCAUUCCGAGAGUUGAUAAUAAUUUUUAUAACUGAAUCUGAUACACUUCAAAGUUAAUGGAUUAGCUAGUCAACAUAUGAAGAGCUAGGUCUCUUUUUCACUAGCUCCGUUUCAUCAAUAGAACGAAAGAGAUAAACUUGGAAAAUAAGGAACAGCUAAGCGUUUGUAACAAGAGUGAUACAAAUGAUAAUAACCUGUAGAAUGAGGAUUAAGAUCGAAAGCGACGAGGUUAUCUUCAUCGCGAAGCACGAGGAUAACCUUAUUGGUGUCCCUACAAAUGGCCAAAGGUGUGAGAGGAGGGUGCGGAAUGUCAUGAGUACCAAACAAAGUGGAGUAAUUGGAAGUGGAAGGCAAGUGAACGGAGAAGAUCUUUUCCCAUGUGUUGUCUUUAACCCUCCACCAAAUUUCUUGCUUAUCUCCAAUCCACUCAGAGAUGCAGAGACGGCCAUGGAGAUUGCAUAGAACAAUGCUAUCACCAUAACAAUCAGAGGUAAUAAAAGGUGGGGUUUGAAUGAUUUGAAACAUCUCUGUGUGAAUAUCAAAAACUAUGAGUUUGGUAUUUGAUGUUGGAUCUCCAUCUUCAUCUCCCGUGACCCAGUAGAUUGAUCCGUCUGCAAACACUGGCCCCUGAUCGCUAUACAGAUUAUGAUUCAAGAUAUUAUGACGAUCAAGAGUAUUAGUAUUCACGAACCUAUGUUUUUUCUUCUAAAUCCAAAACCUCACACGUAGUAGUAAAAAAAGGAUAAGUAUUAUAUAGCCAUACUAGUUUAUAUCUUCCCGUAACGCUAUCUUUACUGUCAAAUAUUAUGGAAUAAAAUAUAUUAUUGAGUUGUAUCAAAUAUGAAAAUACAAGAUACAUAUAUAUAAUGUCAACAUUAACAUAAUGCUAACACCCAUAUAAUGUAAACUUUCCUAAACACAUAAGUAUAUAGCUUGUACAAGAGGUAAUAUAGAGAUCUAGAAUAUUCUUCGGUUUGGGCUUCACUCCAUAAUGGACUUUAACGAUCCAUAUUACUUGGUCCGCAAGAUACACAUCUUGCGUAUCUCCAAUACUCCCUUCACGACAAAAGUGAGAGACGCAAAACGCAAAAUAUGCAAUCACAAAGCGGAACACCUAUGUCGUGGACAUCAUGUCGAGGAAGGACAAAUCAUGUCAAACACUCCUCGGGGUACAACAAACUUCAAAAGAGGGAUGGAACUUCAGCUCGCCUUUAGUCUUGGUAAAUUGGGAAUAACAACAUCCCGUGGGUGCAAAUCUUGCAACUCCACAAAUAAUUGUCCUUAUCACGGAUAGUCCACAAAUCGGAUUAAAAAAUUUUGACCUAAAAACAAGAGCAUUCCAAACAACUCCCCCGUAAUAUGAGAAAUCAAAACUCAUAUUAAAAAAAUUAAAUAUUCUAAUCAACAAUAAAUCUCCGUGAAACCCAAAAACCCAUAAGCAUCAUCACUUUGUAGAAUAUCCUAAUUAGAAAAACUCUUGCACUAAUUCAAUAAAGCCUUAUUUAGAAAGAAACCUAACUAUUGUAAUAAACGUAGACAUAAAAAAAAUAUCUCAUACCCUAAAAUCAAAACCAUAACGUGGACACAACCUCACGUCAUCAUCAUCUGGAUCGUCACCAUCACCAUCGUCUUCGAUGGCUUCACAUCCCAUGGGCAUUAUGAUCACAAAUUUUUUUUAAUGCGGAAGCGUUUAAUUUAGAUUAACAACUCACAAGGAUCGACUUCUCUGAUACCAUGUCAAAUAUUAUGGAAUAAAAUAUAUUACCUCAAUACUCCCCCGCACGACAAACGUGGUCCGCAAAACGCAAACUUUGCAAUCACAAAGCGGAACACGUAUGUCGUGGAGGAUAUGUCGGGACGGACAAAUCAUGUCAACAAACGCCUAAGGGUAUAAGCUUCAAUCUUGAAAAUAGGGGUGGAAUUUUUGCUCGUCUUUGGUCUUGGUAAAAGGGAAUACAUCCCGUGGGCGCAAAUUAUGCUGCUCCACAAACAAUCAUCCUUAUCUUGGAUGGUCCAUAACUCGGACUAAACAUGACCUAAAAACAUGAGCGUUCCAAUAAACUAUACUAAUGGUUAAACUAUAACCAAACUCCCCCGUAAUGGUAAAACUAUUACCAAACUCUCUUACAACUAGAAGAGCCAAUAUAUAAAAUUUCUCUGAAAAAAUCUUAACUCAAGAAUAUCCAGAAACAAUAAAACUAGAAACCCAUAUAAGCCAUAAACGACCCUUUAGAAUCAUUAUUUUAAAUAAAAGAAAAACCCCAUUAAUUAUUGUACUAAAAACCAAAAACAGAACUCUAACUAAGAGUAAAUUGUUCUCUUAAUAAAAAACCUAACGUGGAACAAAUCCACACCUCACGUCAUCAUCGUCUCCGUCUCCACCGUCUUCAACAUCAUCUUCUCCUCCAAGGGUCACCGUCUCCAUGAUCUUCUCUUGAUCACAAGAGUUCUAAUGCGGAAGCUUUAAUUUCGAUCCACUAGAAUCGUCUGCUCUGAUACCAUGUCAAAUAUUAUGGAAUAAAAUAUAUUAUUGAGUUGUAUCAAAUAUGAAAAUACAAGAUACAUAUAUAUAAUGUCAACAUUAACAUAAUGCUAACACCCAUAUAAUGUAAAUUUUCCUAAACACAUAAGUAUAUAGCUUGUACAAGAGGUAAUAUAGAGAUCUAGAAUAUUCUUCGGUUUGGGCUUCACUCCAUAAUGGACUUUAACGAUCCAUAUUACUGGGUCCGCAAGAUACACAUUUUGCGUAUCUCCAAUAUUUACCAAAUCCAAACUGAGAAAAUGACAGUCUUGGAUAUUUAACAGGAUUUGGAUCUUGAACUGAAUCGGGAUCGACCUGUUUGUUCAUACAAAUCUGUUGAAUUCUCGAUAGUGGGAGUUCUAUGUACGUUUUUGUAGCCGGAUUUACCACUUUUACUGCUAUGUCAACGGCAUAUAAGCAGACAAGGCCAUCGCAGCUCUCUGAAAUAUAGAGAUUCCAUUCAGUUAUUUCGAAUUUCAAAGCCUUUUCAUCUAUCACAGAAGCUGACGUCGGCUCCAAGGCAACUGUUUCUAAAGAGAAAUUGGUUUCCUAUGCCACUUUAGCUACAAAAUAAUUAGAGACAAGAAGAAGUUUGCACUCUUUGCUUUGCUCAAGAGCCAUGUAUCUUUCUACGAAAUCCUUCGACAUGAUAAAAGAUCUCCAGUGUUUUGACACAGCUAGAAAUCUCAUGAGCGUUUUCACUGGAAGCAUCACCAUGAUUUCUUCGACGAUAUCGUUAGGUAUAUGAAUCUUCUCAAACUCGCUUCUUCUUCGUUUGAUUUCUUUUCUUGCGGACGAAGCAACUUGUUUGUUUGUAAGUAGUUUCUGAGUCUUCUCCAUUGAUGUCAUGUUUACUUCUUCUUACUCUCGUGAAUUGAAUGUCCGCCGAAUUCAUAAACUAUGUCUAGCAAGGAAUUAGGUCAACGAACUAACAUAACCUAAUACACUUUGUUUUGUUUAAGUUACGCAUCUAUUGGGCCUAAACGAGCCAAUACAAAAUAGUUCUACAAAACCAAUGAUCUAACAUAUAUAACCCAUUAAAUUUUUUGUAUAUCAAACAUAUUUGUUUUCUUUUUCUUGAUCAAGGAAUCAAAUUAAACAAAAAAAAAAUAAUAAUAACUUGGCAAGAAAGAUUUCAAAAAAAAAAACUCACUGGUUGUCACAAGCCCUCUUGAAAAACUUAGCAAGUCAAGCAAAUUACUCGAACAAUGGUGUUCACCGGUUGUUGAACUUGCCUAUGUCCUUCGCUCGUUGCGCUCGUGCCAGAGGUUAUAGACCGUUGACUGAAACGCCAUAUAAAUAAGGAUGAAAGUUAAUUUCUCAUAGGGUUUAUCCAUUAGCCGAUGUAUUGUGAUAUGAUGGUCCAGUCCGGUUCCGGCACCACACCAAGAAUAUCUUCUACUACCUCUGUCCAUACCGUAAACGUGUAGGGACAAGCAAAGAACAAUUGAUCCCUCGUUUCAUCUGUCUCUCCCAAAAAAACAAACAAGUUUGGACACAACGCCAAUCAAAUAAUCUUACUCCAUCUCACUCUUACUACAUCAUCACCGUCCAGAGCUUGCAAACAGUGAUAAUGUGGUUCUAAUCAAUUGCACAUUUCAAUUUACAAAUCAUAACAUAUUAAGUAUUAGGUGUAAGUUUUUUUUUAAUACUAUCGACAAGACCCAAGCCUUAACCCAUUAUUUUCUACUAUGAGCAAUAACAAGAUUUGAUGGAGUGAAUUCUGGUGAGGAAAGUUACAGAAUUGGACCUUUAGCAUUUGACUAAAGACACUUCUCCAGUUUUUUUUUUUUUUUCUUUGAGUGUAAAAUUGUUUUAAAUUUAAAACUUAAUUAAAUUCGAUAUUUGUGUAUGAAAGAGUUCUGUGAGGAAUCUCUUAGUAUUAUUUUUGUUUUCUUGGUUAAACGUAAAUUGUAAUGCAAAAAGGAACGAAAGAGAGUGUGAUACAACAAGCAGCCCAACGGUUAACACCAAUAUGUUUUUAGAACAGCCCACUCGAAAAUUAAACUAACAUGAAACCUAAAUGAAUCAAGAUUGUAAGGAAUAACUAAAAUUUAAAACCGUCACCAAGAUCAAAGAGACACAAUAUAUAUCAACUGUGUAUGCAUGUGUCUACCAUUCGGAGAGUUAGAUAUUCUGGAAACUACGAAUGAAACUCACACACACUUAUUGCCAAUUUUGAUAAUUGAUACACAUCAAAGUUAUUGGAUCAGUCAACAUAUAUGACAAGCUAGGUCUCUUUUUCAAUAGAAUGAAAGAGUGAUAAACUUGGAAAAUAAGGAACAGCUAAGCCUUUGUAACAAGAGAUAUACAAAUGAUAACCUGUAGAGUGAGGAUAGCCUUAUUGGUGUCCCUACAAAUGGCCAAAGGUGUGAGAGGGUGCGGGAAGUCAAUACCAAACAAAGUACAAGUGGAAGGCAAAUGAACGGAGAAGAUCCUUUCCCAUGUAUUAUCUUUAACCCUCCACCAAAACUCUUGCGUAUCUAAGUAAUUAUCAACCAGCACUUGAGAUAUACAGAGAUGGCCAUGGAGAUUGCAUAAAACAAUGAGAUUACCAUAAAGAUAAGAGGUAAUAAAAGGUGGGGUUUCAACGACUUGAAACAUCUCUGUGUGAAUAUCAAAAACUAUGAGUUUGGUAUCUAAAUUUGGCUCUCCAUCUUCAUCUCCAGUGAGCCAGUAUAGAUUGAUCCGUCUGCAAACACUGGCCCCUGAUCGUUGAACAAAUUAUGAUUCAUGAUAUGACGAUCAAGAGUAUCAGUAUUCACGAACCUCCAUGUUUUUUCUUCUAAAUCCAAAACCUCACACGUAGUAGUAGAAAAAAGAAAGGUAUUAUAUAGCCAUACUAGUUUAUAUCUCCCCGUAACGCUAUCUUUCCCAAAUCCAAACUGAGAAAAUGACAGUCCAUGAACUGAAUUCGGACGGCACCUGUACUUUGUGCAUACAAAUCUGUUGAAUUCUCGAUAGUGGGAGUUCUAUGUACAUUUUUGUGGCCGGAUUUACCACUUUUACUGCUAUGUUAAUGGCGUAUAAGCAGACAAGGCCAUCGCAGCUCUCUGAAAUAUAGAGUUUCCAUUCAGUUUUUCGAAUUUCAAAGCCUUUUCAUCUACCACAGAAGCUGACGUCGGCUCCAAGGCAACUGUUAUUAAAGAGAAAUUGGUUUUCUGUGCCACAUUAUCUUUAAAAUAAUUAGAGACAAGAAGAAGUUUGCACUCUUUGCUUUGCUCAAGAGCCUUGUAUCUUUCUCCGAAUUCCUUAGACGUGAUCAGAGAUCUCCAGUGUUUUGACACAGCUCGAAAUCUCAUGAGCGAUUUCACUGGAAGCAUCACCAUGAUUUCUUCGACGAUAUCGUUAGGUAUAUGAAUCUUCUCAAACUCGCUUCCUCUUCGUUUGAUUUCUUUUCUUGCGGACGAAGCAACUUGCUUGUUUGUAAGUAGUUUCUGAGUCUUCUCCAUUGAUGUCAUGUUUUCUUCUUCUUACUCUCGUGAUUUAGAGUGUGCGCAGAAUUUAUAAACUGUGUUUUGCCUUCUUCUACCAAAACUCGAUUUCCUUAUUUCAGCAAUUAGGUUAAACUAACCGACAUAAUGUGGUGGGCUUUAAGACAAAACCAAAACUCCACAAAUCAGUGUUUAGGAAUUAGGACCUUUAGAGCAUGAUUAACAAUGGUAUCUUAAAAAUGGUUCUUAGAAGUAUUAAAGUAAUAAUAUGACAUGUGGUUGGUUCUUAAGGUUAGUUUUGGGUCUUAACUAAGCCACUUUUCUUAGUUUUGGGUCUUAGCUAAGUUACAUUUCUUACUUAAGAACUCUUUAAGAUACCCUUGUUAGGUUUUACUUUUUAAAUCAUCAGUUGGGCCUAAGCGAGCCCAAAGGCUAGAACUAAAUAAUUCUACAACUGAUUUUUUUUUACGGCAAAAAUUCUACAAUUAAUUAAAAAACAUAUUGAUGGGUUUUUUCAAUGGUAAUAAUAACUGACUAUGAUUACAAUAUAUAAAUGUUAUUUUUUUUAAUUUUCUCAACCACAGUUAUCAAGUAUUGUAAAAAUUCUGUCUUUUUUUUUUCCUGCAAUCAAUAUCAUAUCUUAUUAUAUAAUUUUGAAAACCGUACUUUAUAUAAUAAAAUGUGUGAUAGUCUCUAACUCAUCAUAACUGUGUUAGUCCGUUACUCAUUCGAUUUUGGCAUUAUUUGAUAAAAACAAUUACAACUUUUUUUUUUCUAGGAGACUCAAGAUCUUUUAUGUACAUAAAAUUUGGUUUACCAAAUGUUUGUCAAAAUUCAUGAGAUAAAAAAUUAAAGCUUUUUCUUUUUACUUUAAAUUCCUUUUUCACUAAAAAACAAUUUAAAUUCCCUCUAUGCAACUACAUAGAAGUAGUAUUUUGAUCAUUAAUUAGUCAUCAUCAUCUUUAUUCUUGUUAUUCUCUCAUUUUUUUUCAAUCUUUUUCUUGAAAAUUGAAAAUCAACUCAUACUUAAUCCAUGGGAUGGACGCAUAUCGAAGAUUCUCUUCUUUUGGAAGACGUCAGGAAAUACGGAACACUCAAGUGGAAACAAGUAGCUGUGUCGAUGUUAUCGCACCAACAUUCUCAUGUUGCGUGCAAAGCAAGAAUACUCGAAUUGAUCGAAUCAAAUGUAGCUUUCUCUUUCAUUCGCAGUUUCCGAUCAAAAAGAUGAUCGUGAAUUAUGUAUAAUAGUAUUUGUUUAGGUAUUCUUUUAAUUUGUAUGGUGAUGAUGUCGAUAUAGUAUACUUUUUCGAUGUAUUUUGUAGACUUUUUUAGGUUAUGUAUAUUAUCUGCACACUAUUUUAGGUUAUGAUUGAUGAAGUCAUAGAUUUCAAGAUGACCAUGACUUAACUUUAAUAAUUAUUUUAUGCCUUUUAUCUGAACCAACAUUAUGGUUACGAAUCCCAUGGAAGCUUCCCCGCAAUCAAAAAUUGUUAGCCAAAACAAAAAGAGAAAGGUUUUUAAUUACUCUUAAAUAAAUUUUUAUGUUUUUUUUAUCAUUGAAAUCAUUUUUUUUAAUAACUAUACAGCCUGCGGCAAAGAGCAAAAUAAUACCUCUUGGAUUCGUCCGGAAAGCAAAGAAAAAACCAAGAUAUGAGAUGUCUGAAUUCGUUAAUAACUUUAAAAUUCCCUAUAUAACACUAAAAAAAAAUUGAGUUAGUAGGAAGAACUUUGAGACAAAAAUAUUUGUUUAUUACGAUUUUGUUAUCAUUUGUAUUUGUCACAAAUUCGUAGUUGGUUUGUCACAAUGUUGUGACAAAAUAAACCAUGACCGAAUAUUGUCACAAUUAGUGACAAAAUUAUAACCACAAUUGUAAACGUAGCAAUUGUGACAAUAUUAUGACAUAUAGUCACAAAUUUGGUACAGUUUUUUUUUUUUACUAUUCUACGAGUGACAGUUUGUGACAUUGUAGUGACUAUUUGUUAGUAACUAUAUAAUUGGUCUUCAUCAUUGACAAUUUUUUUGUCUUAAAUCUAUAUAUAUAAUAGGAGAGUCUUCUCUCCAUCUAAGCUAUCCACAUCAUCAUCCACCUAAGCAUGCAUUUAAUUACAAAUUAAAAAUAUAAUUUAUUUAAAAUGUUCAUGCAAUACAUAUUUAUUUUUAGUUAUUGUUACAAAUAAAUUAAUAUUAUAAAUAAAAAACAAAGAAAUAUAAAUUUAUACAUAAUAAUAUAAUUUAGUCUUCUCUCCAUCUAGGCUAUCAACUCAUCAUUCACCUAAGCAUGCAUUUAAUCAAAAAUUAAAAAUAUAAUUUAUUUUAAAUGCUCAUUCAAUACAUAUUUAUUUUUAGUUAUUGUUAUUUAUGAUUAAAAAUAUUUAAGUUAAAUACAAAUGAAUUAAUAUUAUAAGCAAAACACAAAGAAAUAUAAACUUAUACAUAAUAAUAGAAAUUGAAUUUUAGCGAGAAAAUGUUUAAGAUUAAUCAUAUUUAAAAUUUUAUAAACAUUUCUGUUUUAGAAUUGAGAUAUUAAAAAUCAAUAUGAUGGAUAUUUCAGUUUUAAAAUUGAUAUAUUCAAAAUCAAUAUGAUGGAUAUUGCAAAAAUUAUAUGAAAGUUGAAAGAUCAUACAUUUAUUAACUUUCAAAAAACAAAUAUAGUAAUGAAUCAUGAAAUACUUAAAAAUCAAUAUGUUGGGUAAUUCUAAAAUUCUAUAAAAUUAUAUAUAUAUAUAUUUGUCAACAUUUGGGCCACAACUGGCCGGCCCAUUAGCCUAAUUUCUACAAUUAAAUUGUAGAGUCGGGACUCGAUCCCUGGUGUGAUAUAUAUAUAUAUAUAUAUAUAUAUAUAGCUAAAUAGUAUCGUGUAUAAUAAUUUAAAACAAAACUAAAAUAUAAUUAUGUAUACUUUUAAUAUUUUA